rnacentral:rRNA from 1 species
CAGUAGCCGCGGGAAUACGUAGGUGGCAAGCGUUGUCCGGAAUUAUUGGGCGUAAAGGGCUCGCAGGCGGUUUCUUAAGUCUGAUGUGAAAGCCCCCGGCUCAACCGGGGAGGGUCAUUGGAAACUGGGAAACUUGAGUGCAGAAGAGGAGAGUGGAAUUCCACGUGUAGCGGUGAAAUGCGUAGAGAUGUGGAGGAACACCAGUGGCGAAGGCGACUCUCUGGUCUGUAACUGACGCUGAGGAGCGAAAGCGUGGGGAGCGAACAGGAUUAGAUACCCCCGUAGUCCCUGUCUCUUAUAC